GCCGUUUGCAGCAUGGGGGGGUCGCGCACGGCGCGCCUCGCUCUCCACCGGGAUUUAUGGAGGUGCUGAGAAGCAGCUUUGAGCUCUGCAGCCCCCGGACACCUCGCCUCGCCCGGCAUCCCGACCUUCGGAUUUAACCAUUCAAGGCUCCCGUGCAUGGAUUGCCCGAGCCAGGCACCGCUGCCGGCCGCCGCCGCCCCGUAGGCUCCCGGCCCCCCUUGCCACCCCCAAGUACUCCACAUACCCCGAUGGGGUAACGUGACGGGGCCACCACCGUGCCACCACCAUCCCCAUAUGCAGAGGCCUUUCUAGAGCGCAGCACCGGAGGCGACAGCCGCUCGCCAUUGCACACG
rnacentral:lncRNA from 1 species